rnacentral:sRNA from 1 species
GUGACUGGCUAUAACAUCUGUCACCCCAUUGAUUGCUGGGAUUGAUCCGGGAGAUCUGGCUGUCUGGGUGGUAUCCUCCUCCUC